rnacentral:rRNA from 1 species
GAUGAACGCUGGCGGCGUGCUUAACACAUGCAAGUCGAGCGAAGCACUUUUGCGGAUUUCUUCGGAUUGAAGCAAUUGUGACUGAGCGGCGGACGGGUGAGUAACGCGUGGGUAACCUGCCUCAUACAGGGGGAUAACAGUUGGAAACGGCUGCUAAUACCGCAUAAGCGCACAGUACCGCAUGGUACGGUGUGAAAAACUCCGGUGGUAUGAGAUGGACCCGCGUCUGAUUAGCUAGUUGGUGAGGUAACGGCCCACCAAGGCGACGAUCAGUAGCCGACCUGAGAGGGUGACCGGCCACAUUGGGACUGAGACACGGCCCAG